AGUCGGGGGUGGUUACUGUGGAGGAUGCAGGGAGGCCAGAAAGCACACUGAUUGAGUCUGUGUUUAGGGGCUGCUGCGAUUAAAACUUGAAUCUAAUACUGAUAGUUUUCAAAAUGAGAAAAGAUAUCCAGGAUAUGCAGUGGAUGCACAAGUGAUGUGUGACCAGAAAUGCCACAAAUUCCACAGAAAAUUGAGAGGUUAUGCUGUGUAGGUCCAACAAGGCAGUUUUCAUCAAUAUGAAUGUCAGAUACUCACCA